rnacentral:rRNA from 1 species
UAAGCGACUAAGCGUACACGGUGGAUGCCCUGGCAGUCAGAGGCGAUGAAGGACGUGCUAAUCUGCGAUAAGCGUCGGUAAGGUGAUAUGAACCGUUAUAACCGGCGAUUUCCGAAUGGGGAAACCCAGUGUGAUUCGUCACACUAUCAUUAACUGAAUCCAUAGGUUAAUGAGGCGAACCGGGGGAACUGAAACAUCUAAGUACCCCGAGGAAAAGAAAUCAACCGAGAUUCCCCCAGUAGCGGCGAGCGAACGGGGAGCAGCCCAGAGCCUGAAUCAGUGUGUGUGUUAGUGGAAGCGUCUGGAAAGGCGUGCGAUACAGGGUGACAGCCCCGUACACAAAAAUGCACAUAUUGUGAGCUCGAUGAGUAGGGCGGGACACGUGGUAUCCUGUCUGAAUAUGGGGGGACCAUCCUCCAAGGCUAAAUACUCCUGACUGACCGAUAGUGAACCAGUACCGUGAGGGAAAGGCGAAAAGAACCCCGGCGAGGGGAGUGAAAAAGAACCUGAAACCGUGUACGUACAAGCAGUGGGAGCACGCUUAGGCGUGUGACUGCGUACCUUUUGUAUAAUGGGUCAGCGACUUAUAUUCUGUAGCAAGGUUAACCGAAUAGGGGAGCCGAAGGGAAACCGAGUCUUAACUGGGCGUUAAGUUGCAGGGUAUAGACCCGAAACCCGGUGAUCUAGCCAUGGGCAGGUUGAAGGUUGGGUAACACUAACUGGAGGACCGAACCGACUAAUGUUGAAAAAUUAGCGGAUGACUUGUGGCUGGGGGUGAAAGGCCAAUCAAACCGGGAGAUAGCUGGUUCUCCCCGAAAGCUAUUUAGGUAGCGCCUCGUGAAUUCAUCUCCGGGGGUAGAGCACUGUUUCGGCAAGGGGGUCAUCCCGACUUACCAACCCGAUGCAAACUGCGAAUACCGGAGAAUGUUAUCACGGGAGACACACGGCGGGUGCUAACGUCCGUCGUGAAGAGGGAAACAACCCAGACCGCCAGCUAAGGUCCCAAAGUCAUGGUUAAGUGGGAAACGAUGUGGGAAGGCCCAGACAGCCAGGAUGUUGGCUUAGAAGCAGCCAUCAUUUAAAGAAAGCGUAAUAGCUCACUGGUCGAGUCGGCCUGCGCGGAAGAUGUAACGGGGCUAAACCAUGCACCGAAGCUGCGGCAGCGACACUAUGUGUUGUUGGGUAGGGGAGCGUUCUGUAAGCCUGUGAAGGUGUACUGUGAGGUAUGCUGGAGGUAUCAGAAGUGCGAAUGCUGACAUAAGUAACGAUAAAGCGGGUGAAAAGCCCGCUCGCCGGAAGACCAAGGGUUCCUGUCCAACGUUAAUCGGGGCAGGGUGAGUCGACCCCUAAGGCGAGGCCGAAAGGCGUAGUCGAUGGGAAACAGGUUAAUAUUCCUGUACUUGGUGUUACUGCGAAGGGGGGACGGAGAAGGCUAUGUUGGCCGGGCGACGGUUGUCCCGGUUUAAGCGUGUAGGCUGGUUUUCCAGGCAAAUCCGGAAAACUAAGGCUGAGGCGUGAUGACGAGGCACUACGGUGCUGAAGCAACAAAUGCCCUGCUUCCAGGAAAAGCCUCUAAGCAUCAGGUAACAUCAAAUCGUACCCCAAACCGACACAGGUGGUCAGGUAGAGAAUACCAAGGCGCUUGAGAGAACUCGGGUGAAGGAACUAGGCAAAAUGGUGCCGUAACUUCGGGAGAAGGCACGCUGAUAUGUAGGUGAAGUCCCUCGCGGAUGGAGCUGAAAUCAGUCGAAGAUACCAGCUGGCUGCAACUGUUUAUUAAAAACACAGCACUGUGCAAACACGAAAGUGGACGUAUACGGUGUGACGCCUGCCCGGUGCCGGAAGGUUAAUUGAUGGGGUCAGCGCAAGCGAAGCUCUUGAUCGAAGCCCCGGUAAACGGCGGCCGUAACUAUAACGGUCCUAAGGUAGCGAAAUUCCUUGUCGGGUAAGUUCCGACCUGCACGAAUGGCGUAAUGAUGGCCAGGCUGUCUCCACCCGAGACUCAGUGAAAUUGAACUCGCUGUGAAGAUGCAGUGUACCCGCGGCAAGACGGAAAGACCCCGUGAACCUUUACUAUAGCUUGACACUGAACAUUGAGCCUUGAUGUGUAGGAUAGGUGGGAGGCUUUGAAGUGUGGACGCCAGUCUGCAUGGAGCCGACCUUGAAAUACCACCCUUUAAUGUUUGAUGUUCUAACGUUGACCCGUAAUCCGGGUUGCGGACAGUGUCUGGUGGGUAGUUUGACUGGGGCGGUCUCCUCCUAAAGAGUAACGGAGGAGCACGAAGGUUGGCUAAUCCUGGUCGGACAUCAGGAGGUUAGUGCAAUGGCAUAAGCCAGCUUGACUGCGAGCGUGACGGCGCGAGCAGGUGCGAAAGCAGGUCAUAGUGAUCCGGUGGUUCUGAAUGGAAGGGCCAUCGCUCAACGGAUAAAAGGUACUCCGGGGAUAACAGGCUGAUACCGCCCAAGAGUUCAUAUCGACGGCGGUGUUUGGCACCUCGAUGUCGGCUCAUCACAUCCUGGGGCUGAAGUAGGUCCCAAGGGUAUGGCUGUUCGCCAUUUAAAGUGGUACGCGAGCUGGGUUUAGAACGUCGUGAGACAGUUCGGUCCCUAUCUGCCGUGGGCGCUGGAGAACUGAGGGGGGCUGCUCCUAGUACGAGAGGACCGGAGUGGACGCAUCACUGGUGUUCGGGUUGUCAUGCCAAUGGCACUGCCCGGUAGCUAAAUGCGGAAGAGAUAAGUGCUGAAAGCAUCUAAGCACGAAACUUGCCCCGAGAUGAGUUCUCCCUGACUCCUUGAGAGUCCUGAAGGAACGUUGAAGACGACGACGUUGAUAGGCCGGGUGUGUAAGCGCAGCGAUGCGUUGAGCUAACCGGUACUAAUGAACCGUGAGGCUUAACCU